CAGUCGCCGCGGUAAUACGAAGGGUGCAAGCGUUACUCGGAAUUACUGGGCGUAAAGCGUGUGUAGGUGGUUGUUUAAGUCUGUCGUGAAAGCCCUGGGCUCAACCUGGGAAUUGCGAUGGAUACUGGGCGACUAGAGUGCGGUAGAGGAUAGUGGAGUUUCCGGUGUAGCAGUGAAAUGCGUAGAGAUCGGAAGGAACAUCUGUGGCGAAGGCGACUACCUGGGCCAACACUGACACUGAGACACGAAAGCGUGGGGAGCAAACAGGAUUAGAUACCCGCGUAGUCCCUGUCUCUUAUAC
rnacentral:rRNA from 1 species